rnacentral:rRNA from 1 species
AAAUUGAAGAGUUUGAUCAUGGCUCAGAUUGAACGCUGGCGGCAGGCCUAACACAUGCAAGUCGAGCGGAAACGAGUUAUCUGAACCUUCGGGGAACGAUAACGGCGUCGAGCGGCGGACGGGUGAGUAAUGCCUAGGAAAUUGCCCUGAUGUGGGGGAUAACCAUUGGAAACGAUGGCUAAUACCGCAUGAUGCCUACGGGCCAAAGAGGGGGACCUUCGGGCCUCUCGCGUCAGGAUAUGCCUAGGUGGGAUUAGCUAGUUGGUGAGGUAAGGGCUCACCAAGGCAACGAUCCCUAGCUGGUCUGAGAGGAUGAUCAGCCACACUGGAACUGAGACACGGUCCAGACUCCUACGGGAGGCAGCAGUGGGGAAUAUUGCACAAUGGGCGCAAGCCUGAUGCAGCCAUGCCGCGUGUGUGAAGAAGGCCUUCGGGUUGUAAAGCACUUUCAGUCGUGAGGAAGGUAGUGUAGUUAAUAGCUGCAUUAUUUGACGUUAGCGACAGAAGAAGCACCGGCUAACUCCGUGCCAGCAGCCGCGGUAAUACGGAGGGUGCGAGCGUUAAUCGGAAUUACUGGGCGUAAAGCGCAUGCAGGUGGUUUGUUAAGUCAGAUGUGAAAGCCCGGGGCUCAACCUCGGAAUAGCAUUUGAAACUGGCAGACUAGAGUACUGUAGAGGGGGUAGAAUUUCAGGUGUAGCGGUGAAAUGCGUAGAGAUCUGAAGGAAUACCGGUGGCGAAGGCGGCCCCCUGGACAGAUACUGACACUCAGAUGCGAAAGCGUGGGGAGCAAACAGGAUUAGAUACCCUGGUAGUCCACGCCGUAAACGAUGUCUACUUGGAGGUUGUGGCCUUGAGCCGUGGCUUUCGGAGCUAACGCGUUAAGUAGACCGCCUGGGGAGUACGGUCGCAAGAUUAAAACUCAAAUGAAUUGACGGGGGCCCGCACAAGCGGUGGAGCAUGUGGUUUAAUUCGAUGCAACGCGAAGAACCUUACCUACUCUUGACAUCCAGAGAACUUUCCAGAGAUGGAUUGGUGCCUUCGGGAACUCUGAGACAGGUGCUGCAUGGCUGUCGUCAGCUCGUGUUGUGAAAUGUUGGGUUAAGUCCCGCAACGAGCGCAACCCUUAUCCUUGUUUGCCAGCGAGUAAUGUCGGGAACUCCAGGGAGACUGCCGGUGAUAAACCGGAGGAAGGUGGGGACGACGUCAAGUCAUCAUGGCCCUUACGAGUAGGGCUACACACGUGCUACAAUGGCGCAUACAGAGGGCGGCCAACUUGCGAAAGUGAGCGAAUCCCAAAAAGUGCGUCGUAGUCCGGAUUGGAGUCUGCAACUCGACUCCAUGAAGUCGGAAUCGCUAGUAAUCGUGGAUCAGAAUGCCACGGUGAAUACGUUCCCGGGCCUUGUACACACCGCCCGUCACACCAUGGGAGUGGGCUGCAAAAGAAGUAGGUAGUUUAACCUUCGGGGGGACGCUUACCACUUUGUGGUUCAUGACUGGGGUGAAGUCGUAACAAGGUAGCGCUAGGGGAACCUGGCGCUGGAUCACCUCCUUA